GGGAGCGGAUGGGGCCUGGUGGUCUCUGCGGACUUCAACUCCGUUGGCAGUAAUCCUUCGAUUGGUGCGGUGGGUUCGACUCCCUCGCGCUCCCGCCA
rnacentral:tRNA from 1 species